rnacentral:rRNA from 1 species
GAUCCUGGCUCAGGAUGAACGCUGGCGGCGUGCUUAACACAUGCAAGUCGAACGGGGAUGCCAUUUUUGAAGCGAUUAGCUUGCUGAGAGUGGAAAUGUUGGCAUCUUAGUGGCGGACGGGUGAGUAACGCGUGGGGAACCUGCCCUGUACAGGGGGAUAACACUUAGAAAUAGGUGCUAAUACCGCAUAAGCGCACAGUAUCGCAUGAUACAGUGUGAAAAACUCCGGUGGUACAGGAUGGACCCGCGUCUGAUUAGCUGGUUGGCGGGGUAACGGCCCACCAAGGCGACGAUCAGUAGCCGGCCUGAGAGGGUGAACGGCCACAUUGGGACUGAGACACGGCCCAAACUCCUACGGGAGGCAGCAGUGGGGAAUAUUGGACAAUGGGGGGGAACCCUGAUCCAGCGACGCCGCGUGAGUGAAGAAGUAUUUCGGUAUGUAAAGCUCUAUCAGCAGGGAAGAAAAUGACGGUACCUGACUAAGAAGCCCCGGCUAACUACGUG